CAGGAGGGUGCGAGCGUUAAUCGGAAUUACUGGGCGUAAAGCGUGCGUAGACGGUUAUUUAAGUCGGGUGUGAAAGCCCCGGGCUCAACCUGGGAAUUGCAUUCGAGACUGAAUAGCUAGGGUACGGUAGAGGGAAGUGGAAUUUCCGGUGUAGCGGUGAAAUGCGUAGAUAUCGGAAGGAACAUCAGUGGCGAAAGCGACUUCCUGGACCAGUACCGACGUUCAGGCACGAAAGCGUGGGGAGCAAACAGGAUUAGAUACCCUGGUAGUCCACGCCAUAAACGAUGAGGACUAGACGUUGGAGGGGUAAGCCUUUCAGUGUCGUAGCUAACGCGCUAAGUCCUCCGCCUGGGGAGUACGGCCGCAAGGUUG
rnacentral:rRNA from 1 species